GUGGGGAAUAUUGGACAAUGGGGGAAACCCUGAUCCAGCGACGCCGCGUGUGUGAAGAAGGCCUGCGGGUUGUAAAGCACUUUUAGUGGGGAUGAAAAGUUCAGGGCUAAUAUCCCUGGAUCUUGACCUAACCCAAAGAAAAAGCACCGGCUAACUCUGUGCCAGCAGCCGCGGUAAUACAGAGGGUGCAAGCGUUAAUCGGAAUUACUGGGCGUAAAGCGUGCGUAGACGGUUAUGUAAGUCAGGUGUGAAAGCCCCGGGCUCAACCUGGGAAUGCCAUUUGAGACUGCAUAGCUAGGGUACGGAAGAGGGAAGCGGAAUUUCAGGUGUAGCGGUGAAAUGCGUAGAUAUCUGAAGGAACACCAGUGGCGAAAGCGGCUUCCUGGUCCAGUACCGACGUUCAGGCACGAAAGCGUGGGGAGCAAACAGGAUUAGAAACCCGGGUAGUCC
rnacentral:rRNA from 1 species